rnacentral:rRNA from 1 species
UAGUCAUAUGCUUGUCUCAAAGAUUAAGCCAUGCAUGUAUAAGUUCACACCCUUUGAAUGGUGAAACCGCGAAUGGCUCAUUAAAUCAGCUAUUGUUCCUUAGAUCUUACAUUGUUACAUGGAUACUGUAGUAAUUCUAGAGCUAAUACAUGCCAUUAUACUCUGACCGCAAGGAAAGGGUGGAUUUAUUAGAUCAAAACUAACCAGUGCUUCUGCAUUGCUAGUUUGAUGGCUCUGGAUAACUUUUUCUGAUCGCAAAGCCUUGUGCUAGCGACGGGAAUCAGGGUUCGAUUCCGGAGAGGGAGCCUUAGAAAUGGCUACCACAUCUAAGGAAGGCAGCAGGCCGCAAUACCCACUCUCAGCUAGAGGAGGUAGUGACGAAAAAUAACGAUGCAGGACUCUUUCGAGGCUCUGCAAUUGGAAUGAGUCAAUUUAAAUCCUUUAACGAGGAACAAUUGGAGGGCAAGUCUGGUGCCAGCAGCCGCGGUAAUA